GACGAACGCUGGCGGCGUGCUUAACACAUGCAAGUCGAACGGAAAGGCCCUGCUUGCAGGGUACUCGAGUGGCGAACGGGUGAGUAACACGUGGGUGAUCUGCCCUGCACUUCGGGAUAAGCCUGGGAAACUGGGUCUAAUACCGGAUAGGAGCCAUUUUUAGUGUGAUGGUUGGAAAGUUUUUUCGGUGUAGGAUGAGCUCGCGGCCUAUCAGCUUGUUGGUGGGGUAAUGGCCUACCAAGGCGGCGACGGGUAGCCGGCCUGAGAGGGUGGACGGCCACAUUGGGACUGAGAUACGGCCCAGACUCCUACGGGAGGCAGCAGUGGGGAAUAUUGCACAAUGGGCGCAAGCCGGAUGCAGCGACGCCGCGUGGGGGACGACGGCCUUCGGGUUGUAAACUCCUUUCGCUAGGGACGAAGCUUUUUGUGACGGUACCUAGAUAAGAAGCACCGGCUAACUACGUG
rnacentral:rRNA from 1 species